AUUGAACGCUGGCGGCGUGCCUUACACAUGCAAGUCGAACGGCAGCACGGGAGCAAUCCUGGUGGCGAGUGGCGAACGGGUGAGUAAUAUAUCGGAACGUGCCCAGUCGUGGGGGAUAACGCAGCGAAAGCUGUGCUAAUACCGCAUACGAUCUACGGAUGAAAGCGGGGGAUCGCAAGACCUCGCGCGAUUGGAGCGGCCGAUAUCAGAUUAGCUAGUUGGUGGGGUAAAGGCCCACCAAGGCGACGAUCUGUAGCUGGUCUGAGAGGACGACCAGCCACACUGGAACUGGGACACGGUCCAGACGCCUACGGGAGGCAGCAGUGGGGAAUUUUGGACAAUGGGCGCAAGCCUGAUCCAGCAAUGCCGCGUGCAGGAUGAAGGCCUUCGGGUUGUAAACUGCUUUUGUACGGAACGAAACGGCCCUUUCUAAUACAGGGGGCUAAUGACGGUACCGUAAGAAUAAGCACCGGCUAACUACGUGCCAGCCGCCGCGGUAA
rnacentral:rRNA from 1 species